rnacentral:tRNA from 1 species
AGCUCGCUGGGACGGUGUUUGACUGCCUCGCCUCCGGCGAGGCGGACUCGGGGCGCCUUAGAGGCCGUCGGUCGUGCCGGAGGCGCGCCA